AUAAACAAACAAACAAAUAAAUAAAAAUUAGAAAACUUAGUUUUCUUUGCAAAAUCAAUGUUAGAAGAUGAAAUAUCUUUAUGUGCUCAUCAUUUCAUAGGCUUCCAAAAUUUGUGAUUAAUUCCUAUGAGCUCUCUCAUAUUUCAGUUUGCAUAGUUGCUUUGCUAGCUAUCAUAAUUGCAUGGAAACUUGAAUUACCACCUUUAGGGCCUUUCUUUGUUUCCUUUGUUUUUGUCUUAUUUUCCCUUAUUUGUUGCAAGAUCAAUCUUUGAUCAAGAAAUUAACUUGGAAUUUCCUAUCUGUAACUUAGUUGUUAUUAUUUGUUAAGUGGAAGGGUAGAUGCAUUCAAACAAAUUGCACUUUUUACAUAAGCUUUUCCAUUGCUUUUUGCUGACAAGUCAGCCAUGGCCUAACUUCCUUUGUUGGGAAGCAGCUUCCCAUGUGGUGAUUUUUUGGAAAGAAAAUUUAGUAUUAAAUCGAAUCUAUAAAUGCUUUAGAGUCUCCAAACAAGGAUGGAAACACGGCUAGCAAAAGUUUGGCCAAUAAUUGAGAUACUUCUGUUAUGGUUGGCAUGCCAAUUUUUAUCCAUUGAAAUGGUACGUACUUCUACUGAGGACGCCAGUGUAUCACUUAUAGUUUUCUGUAAUAAAAGAUUAUUUUCUGAUUGUAAUAUAAAAUAGCAUCACAUAGCUAAAAGACGUUUUAAAUUGUAUAGAAAAUCUUGAGACUUUUCCUUUGUAGCUGUAAGAAACAAUAAGAAAAUACAUUUCUACUAUGUAUUGUUUGAUUUUGGAUUUUUAUCGUGUCUUUGUUCAUUUUAUUAAAAGCCUAUGUCAUGAGGUAUAUGGAGGGUUAUGACAUAAAGGAGUCUGGUGUUAAAUGUUUGGGGCUUUCCUCAAAUCAGUAAACUAUGCACCAUGCAGCAGGAGUUUCCUGAAAAUUGACACUGACAUGGAGUGCAUUAAAUGCAGAAAUAAAACAAUAGCAUACUUGAAUAUCCU
rnacentral:misc_RNA from 1 species